ensembl:misc_RNA Metazoa_SRP Metazoan signal recognition particle RNA
GCCGGUUGCGGUGGCAUGUGCCUGUAAUCCAAGUCACUGGGAGGCUGAGGUUGGUGGAUCAAGUGAGCUGAGGAGCUCUGGGCUGCAGCACACUAUGUUGAACGGGUGUCCACGCUAAGUUCGGUAUCGAUAUGGUGUUCCAGGGGGAGCCCGGGACCACCAGGUUGUCUAAGGAGGGGUGAACCGGCCCAGGUCGGAAACGAAGCAGGUCAAAUCCCCCGUGCUGUCCAGUAGUUGGAUAAUACCUGUGAGUAGAUGCUGCAGUGCAGCCUUGGCAAAACAUCGAGACCUAAUCUUUU